ACUAGCUUGAAGGUUGGGCUUAUAUUUAUGUGUUCAAUACGACCAGUUCGUCCUGUAAACAUAAGUAAUACCGGCAUUUUCCAGCUCCACCGCCGUUAAGGCUUUAAUUUUUUAUUUACAGGAUUUAUAUCAUGUCUCAAGUUACUGGUGUAGUUAAGUGGUUCAACUCUGACAAAGGUUUUGGUUUCAUCGAACAAGAAUCUGGUCCAGACGUAUUCGUUCACUUCCGUGCAAUCAACUCUGACGGUUUCAAAACUCUUGACGAAGGUCAGAAAGUGUCUUUCACUGUGACUCAAGGUCAAAAAGGUCCUCAAGCUGAAAACGUAACCGUAAUCGGUUAAUUUUCAGUGCCGUUAGCCUAGGUGCUGACAGCAAUGGAUUUAAGAGCUGUGGUUUUUACCAUGGCUCUUUUU
rnacentral:sRNA from 1 species